GACGAACGCUGGCGGCGUGCCUAAUACAUGCAAGUCGAGCGGACCGACCAGGAGCUUGCUCUUGUUCGGUUAGCGGCGGACGGGUGAGUAACACGUGGGUAACCUGCCCGUAAGACCGGGAUAACUCCGGGAAACCGGAGCUAAUACCGGAUAACACCGAAGACCGCAUGGUCUUUGGUUGAAAGGCGGCUUCGGCUGCCACUUACGGAUGGGCCCGCGGCGCAUUAGCUAGUUGGUGAGGUAACGGCUCACCAAGGCGACGAUGCGUAGCCGGCCUGAGAGGGUGACCGGCCACACUGGGACUGAGACACGGCCCAGACGCCUACGGGAGGCAGCAGUAGGGAAUCUUCCGCAAUGGACGAAAGUCUGACGGAGCGACGCCGCGUGAGCGAAGAAGGUCGUCGGAUCGUAAAGCUCGGUUGUUAGGGAAGAAGAAGCGUCGUUCGAACAGGGCGGCGCGGUGACGGUACCUAACGAGAAAGCCCCGGCUAACUACGUG
rnacentral:rRNA from 1 species